rnacentral:SRP_RNA from 1 species
GCCGAGCUUUGUAACGUGGGCUUGUAACCCGAGUGGGGGCAACAAUGUGGUGGAAUGUUGGGUCCAUCUUGAUGGAUGGGCUUGAAGGGCUAAUGUUCUGGCCUGCCCUGUCCAAGCACAGAGUUGGGUCAAGUGGUCUAUACGAAAGUAUAGGCCACUUGGCCUUUAGAGUGGGAUGGACUGCGUGAGGCUGGUUUCACAGAGCAACGACUAGUCCCCGCUCUGUGCAGUGGAAGGAUCACGGGCUAGUGCUCUUUGAGUCCUAACAAAAACCUGAUAGGUUGCCUAAUUAAACCAUCACUUUU